AAUUUUUAAAUUUAAAAUAAUAUAUAAAUUUUAAUUUAAAUAUAUAUUAAAUUAAUAAUAUAUUUUAUUAAUAAUUAAAUUUAAAAAAUAUUAAAGAAAUUUUUAUUUUGUAAAAAUUUAUAAUUUUAAAUAAAAAAAGUGCCAGCAAUAGCGGUUAAACUUUUUAUAAAAAAUUAAUUUAGUUAAUAUUAAUUAAUUAAAUAAAUACCUUUUUAUUAUUAAUAAAUUUAAAUUAUUUGGUUAAAUAUAAAUUAAAUAAAUAAUUUAAUAUAAUUAACAUUAAGAAUUAUUUUUAUAAUAAAAAUUUAAAAAAUUUUAAAAAAAACUAGGAUUAGAUACCCUAUUAUUAAAAAAUAAAAAAUAUAAAAUAUUAAUAUAGUAAAUUUUAAUAAUUAAAUAAAUAAAUUUGACGGUAUUUUAAUUUAUUUAGGGGAACUUAUUAUUUAAUUUGAUAAUACACGAUAAGAAAAACUUAUAAUAUUAUAUUUAUGUAUAUUCGUUUAAAAAAAAAUUUUUAAAAAAUAAUUUUUUUAAUAUUAAAUUAAAUUAUAAUUCAGAUAAAUAUAUAAUUAGUUUAUAAGAAAUUAAAUGAGUUACAAUAAAUUAAAUUUAUAAUAAAAAUAAUUUUAACAAUAAAAUUUAUAAAGAAUUUAAUUGUAAAAUUAGUUAAUUAACUAAUUUGAUUAAUAAUAUUAAAAUAUGUACAAAUUGCCCGUCAAUUUAAUUAUAUUAAUUUUAAAAUUUAAAAAUUUUAUAAAAAUUAAAUUAAAUAAGUCGUAACAAAGUAAAAAUACUGGAAAGUGUUUUU
rnacentral:rRNA from 1 species